rnacentral:lncRNA from 1 species
CACAGGGCCUGCUCCUGGCUCUUUAGUUCUGGGCCCUCAGCACACUCUUCCCCCUGACCCAACUCUGUCCAUGCCAGAAAACUUCCUCUGAUGUGUCACCUCUUCCUGUCCCCUACACAUGAUCUCAUUUACCACACCAGGCUCUCAUAUCGCCCUCUCUCUCCUCCAGAGCAUUCGCCUCAAGUUGUACUGAUGUGUCCACUUGUGACACCAGCAUAGUACCUGUCUCCCACAUGUCCCCAUGUCUGCCAAGGCUCCUCUACCUUUGAGAAAAGCUCUAGCAGCUGCUACUACACACACGUUGGCAAAAUGAAUGCAUGAAAUCACCAUUUACAGGAGGUAACCCCCGACAUGUUUAAAGGCCUCUCCUCUAACUCCAGGAAUAUGAUUUCCCAGAACCUGUCUCAAUGCCAGACAUAUAAACUACUGCCCCUCACAUUUUUCAUCUAUGAAGUAAAACUCUGAUAAACAUUCAAGACCUUCAGAUUUUUCUUUUGAGUCUCAACACAGGAUAUAUUUCUCUGAACAUGGCUAGAUCUUUGGAGACAGCAAAUAUUUUCUUGUGAAAUAAAAGUAAGUUAGCUGGUAUCAACUGCUAACAGACAGGAAGUGCCGCAAGGUCUGAAAAACAGAGUUUUGUUGUUUUUUUUAGAAAGAAUAAACAAAUGGGAGACUUUUAUUUUGGGCAAAAAAUCCUGUGCCAUGGAGGAUAAAAGCCAGCGACGCUAAAAAGGAAAAAGAAAACAAAAAGAAUAAAUAAAUAGCCCCGGCAGAUCCAGCAACAAAACAUAUCCUAGUCAGCAGGGCAGAAAGGACACACAGGCCCACAGAAGUCCUAUUGUUCUACUUUCAGGACAAGACUAUCUCAAAAGAGACUAUGAGCGGGGAUCUUUCACGCCAACCCUGAGGACCCAACGUUUUGGGUGCUGUUUGGGGGAGCAACGUGGCUUUGCCUUGCAGAGAGAGAAUUAACAAAACAGAAUCCCAGAAGGUUACCAAAUGCAGAGAAGCACCUUAAAAUAGAACGCAAUAAUUACCACAUAAAGCAACCAAGAACACAGGUUUCAGGUGGGCACGGCUGCUGUCCCCCAAAUGCCCACUUAGGAGGAAAUGCAGAUCUGUACCGGGAGGAAGCAGCCUGGGGCCUGGGCCUCCGGGGCUGGUUCCACUGAGCAACCCAGCCCGGGCCUCGCUGCGCGGUCCAGACACAAGGAAGGUAGUUUCUCAUCUGCUGCUUCAGGUAAGGCAAUGA